ACGCACGCUGGCGGCGUGCUUCACACAUGCAAGUCGAACGGAAAGGCCUUUUCGGAGGUACUCGAGUGGCGAACGGGUGAGUAACACGUGGGUGAUCUGCCCUGCACUCUGGGAUAAGCCUGGGAAACUGGGUCUAAUACCGGAUAGGACCGCACUUUAGUGUGUGUGGUGGAAAGUUUUUUCGGUGUAGGAUGAGCCCGCGGCCUAUCAGCUUGUUGGUGGGGUAAUGGCCUACCAAGGCGGCGACGGGUAGCCGGACUGAGAGGUUGGUCGGCCACAUUGGGACUGAGAUACGGCCCAGACUCCUACGGGAGGCAGCAGUGGGGAAUAUUGCACAAUGGGCGCAAGCCUGAUGCAGCGACGCCGCGUGGGGGAUGACGGCCUUCGGGUUGUAAACGCCUUUCGCCAGGGACGAAGCGUUUUGUGACGGUACCUGGAGAAGAAGCACCGGCUAACUACGUG
rnacentral:rRNA from 1 species